rnacentral:rRNA from 1 species
UUAGAGUUUGAUCCUGGCUCAGGAUGAACGCUAGCGGCAGGCUUAACACAUGCAAGUCGAGGGGCAGCAUGUCCAGCAAUGGAUGAUGGCGACCGGCGGAAGGGUGCGUAACGCGUGAGCAACAUGCCCUAUACAGGGAGAUACACCAGGGAAACUUGGUCUAAUAUCCCAUAGCAUUCAUUGAAGGCAUCUUUAAUGAAUUAAAGCUUCGGUGGUAUAGGAUUGGCUCGCGUGACAUUAGCCAGAUGGUGAGGUAACGGCUCACCAUAGCAAUGAUGUCUAGGGGUUUUGAGAGGAAGGCCCCCCACACUGGGACUGAGACACGGCCCAGACUCCUACGGGAGGCAGCAGUGAGGAAUAUUGGACAAUGGAUGGAAAUCUGAUCCAGCCAUGCCGCGUGCAGGAAGACGGCCUUAUGGGUUGUAAACUGCUUUUAUACGGGAGCAAUAAGGGUUACGAGUAAUCCGAUGAGAGUACUGUAUGAAUAAGGAUCGGCUAACUCCGUGCCAGCAGCCGCGGUAAUACGGAGGAUCCGAGCGUUAUCCGGAAUUAUUGGGUUUAAAGGGUGCGUAGGCGGCCAUUUAAGUCAGCGGUGAAAUUUUGCAGCUUAACUGUAACAGUGCCGUUGAUACUGUUUGGCUAGGAUUUGGUUGUAGUGUGCGGAAUGUGUGGUGUAGCGGUGAAAUGCUUAGAUAUCACACAGAACACCGAUUGCGAAGGCAGCACACUAAGUCAUUAUUGACGCUGAGGCACGAAAGUGUGGGGAUCAAACAGGAUUAGAUACCCUGGUAGUCCACACUGUAAACGAUGAUAACUCGCUGUCGGCGAUACACAGUCCGUGGGCAAGCGAAAGCAUUAAG